AUUGAACGCUGGCGGCAGGCCUAACACAUGCAAGUCGAGCGGGGUUUUCGGACCUAGCGGCGGACGGGUGAGUAAUGCGUAGGAAGCUACCCGAUAGAGGGGGAUACCAGUUGGAAACGACUGUUAAUACCGCAUAAUGUCUACGGACCAAAGUGUGGGACCUUCGGGCCACAUGCUGUCGGAUGCGCCUACGUGGGAUUAGCGAGUUGGUGAGGUAAUGGCUCACCAAGGCGACGAUCCCUAGCUGGUUUGAGAGGAUGAUCAGCCACACUGGAACUGAGACACGGUCCAGACUCCGACGGGAGGCAGCAGUGGGGAAUAUUGGACAAUGGGCGCAAGCCUGACCCAGCCAUGCCGCGUGUGUGAAGAAGGCCUUCGGGUUGUAAAGCACUUUCAGUAGGGAGGAAGCGUUGUGUGUUAAUAGUACACAGCGUUGACGUUACCUACAGAAGAAGCACCGGCUAACUCUGUGCCAGCAGCCGCGGUAAAAC
rnacentral:rRNA from 1 species